rnacentral:rRNA from 1 species
UACGGGGGGAGCAAGCGUUGUUCGGAUUUACUGGGCGUAAAGGGCGCGUAGGCGGCCACCGCAAGUCGACUGUGAAAUCUCCGGGCUUAACUCGGAAAGGUCAGCCGAUACUGCGGGGCUAGAGUGCAGAAGGGGCAACUGGAAUUCUCGGUGUAGCGGUGAAAUGCGUAGAUAUCGAGAGGACCACCUGCGGCGAAGGCGGGUUGCUGGGCUGACACUGACGCUGAGGCACGAAGGUCAGGGGAGCAAACGGG